UGGAGGCACGAAGUCGACAAUCAUUCAGUAGAUCCAUGCCUAAAAAUAUCCAUGUAUAUCCUGAGUAUCUUUUGGUUCUGUGAAGUGAGAUACGUGUCUGAAUAAUCCUCGUGUAUUCGGGAACUAGUGGAGAAGUGGCAAAGGCGAAUGAAGCAGACGGGCGGUGAGAAACGGAGGACGAUGCAGGGAAGCCACAGAGAAAGGAAGGGAGGCUUUAACUUCGAGGGGAAAGGAACCCGGAACAUCACUGCAAACACUAUACUGGGAGGCAGAACUUUUAUUAGCACAACAGUGAACUCUAGCUGGGAUGUCGGCUAGAUUUCAUUACUACCACCACCACAUCAUUCUCCUCUUCUUGUCAACGGGGGCGCAGCAAAUGAAGAUCUCUUGUGAUCAAAUGUGGCUACUUACUAACAAUAGCACCCUCCUCUCCGCUCUCCAUGCGUACCAAGACCGGACAAA